UUUUAUGGAGAGUUUGAUCCUGGCUCAGGAUGAACGCUGGCGGCGUGCCUAAUACAUGCAAGUCGAGCGAACGGACGAGAAGCUUGCUUCUCUGAUGUUAGCGGCGGACGGGUGAGUAACACGUGGAUAACCUACCUAUAAGACUGGGAUAACUUCGGGAAACCGGAGCUAAUACCGGAUAAUAUUUUGAACCGCAUGGUUCAAAAGUAAAAGACGGUCUUGCUGUCACUUAUAGAUGGAUCCGCGCUGCAUUAGCUAGUUGGUAAGGUAACGGCUUACCAAGGCAACGAUGCAUAGCCGACCUGAGAGGGUGAUCGGCCACACUGG
rnacentral:rRNA from 1 species